GAGUUUGAUCCUGGCUCAGGACGAACGCUGGCGGCGUGCUUAACACAUGCAAGUCGAACGGAAAGGCCGGGUGCUUGCACCUGGUACUCGAGUGGCGAACGGGUGAGUAACACGUGGGUGAUCUGCCCUGCACUUCGGGAUAAGCCUGGGAAACUGGGUCUAAUACCGGAUAGGACCAUUGGUUGGUACUGGUGGUGGAAAGUUUUUCGGUGCAGGAUGAGCUCGCGGCCUAUCAGCUUGUUGGUGGGGUAAUGGCCUACCAAGGCGGCGACGGGUAGCCGGCCUGAGAGGGUGGACGGCCACAUUGGGACUGAGACACGGCCCAGACUCCUACGGGAGGCAGCAGUGGGGAAUAUUGCACAAUGGGCGCAAGCCUGAUGCAGCGACGCCGCGUGGGGGAUGACGGCCUUCGGGUUGUAAACUCCUUUCAACCAUGACGAAGCUUUGUGACGGUAGUGAGAAGAUGGCC
rnacentral:rRNA from 1 species